CCUACGGGCGGCAGCAGUGAGGAAUAUUGGUCAAUGGGCGCGAGCCUGAACCAGCCAAGUAGCGUGAAGGAUGACUGCCCUACGGGUUGUAAACUUCUUUUAUCAAGGAAUAAAGUGAGGCACGUGUGCCUUUUUGUAUUUACUUUAUGAAUAAGAAUCGGCUAACUCCUUGCCAGCAGCCGCGGUAAUACGUAGGUGGCAAGCGUUUUCCGGAUUUACUGGGUGUAAAGGGCGUGUAGCCGGGUUGACAAGUCAGAUGUGAAAUCCUGCGGCUUAACCGCCAAACUGCAUUUGAAACUGGUGAUCUAGAGUACUCGAGAGGCAGACGGAAUUCGUAGUGUAGCGGUGAAAUGCGUAGAUAUCAGGAGGAACACCAGUUGCGAAGGCGGUCUGCUGGACAGCAACUGACGGUGAGGCGCGAAAGCGUGGGGAGCAAACAGGAUUAGAUACCCGGGUAGUC
rnacentral:rRNA from 1 species